CAGUCGCCACGGGAAUACGUAGGGCGCAAGCGUUGUCCGGAAUUAUUGGGCGUAAAGAGCUCGUAGGCGGUCUGUCGCGUCUGGUGUGAAAUCCCGAGGCUCAACCUCGAGCUUGCAUCGGGUACGGGCAGACUAGAGUGCGGUAGGGGAGACUGGAAUUCCUGGUGUAGCGGUGGAAUGCGCAGAUAUCAGGAGGAACACCGAUGGCGAAGGCAGGUCUCUGGGCCGCAACUGACGCUGAGGAGCGAAAGCAUGGGGAGCGAACAGGAUUAGAUACCCCCGUAGUCCCUGUCUCUUAUAC
rnacentral:rRNA from 1 species